rnacentral:rRNA from 1 species
AUUGAACGCUGGCGGCAUGCCUUACACAUGCAAGUCGAACGGCAGCACGGGUGCUUGCACCUGGUGGCGAGUGGCGAACGGGUGAGUAAUACAUCGGAACAUGUCCUGUAGUGGGGGAUAGCCCGGCGAAAGCCGGAUUAAUACCGCCUACGAUCCCCGGCUGACAGCGGGGGCCCUUCGGGCCUCGCGCUAUAGGGUUGGCCGAUGGCUGAUUAGCUAGUUGGUGGGGUAAAGGCCUACCAAGGCGACGAUCAGUAGCUGGUCUGAGAGGACGACCAGCCACACUGGGACUGAGACACGGCCCAGACUCCUACGGGAGGCAGCAGUGGGGAAUUUUGGACAAUGGGCGAAAGCCUGAUCCAGCAAUGCCGCGUGUGUGAAGAAGGCCUUCGGGUUGUAAAGCACUUUUGUCCGGAAAGAAAUCCUUGACUCUAAUACAGUCGGGGGAUGACGGUACCGGAAGAAUAAGCACCGGCUAACUACGUG